UGUUAUAUGUUGCCGAGUUGGUCUAAGGCACCAGAUUAUGGCUUUGGUCUCUCCAGAGGUGUGGGUUUGAAUCCCACUCUGCUCA